AGUGAACGCUGGCGGUAGGCCUAACACAUGCAAGUCGAACGGCAGCACAGUAAGAGCUUGCUCUUACGGGUGGCGAGUGGCGGACGGGUGAGGAAUACAUAGGCAUCUACUUUUUCGUGGGGGAUAACGUAGGGAAACUUACGCUAAUACCGCAUACGACCUACGGGUGAAAGCAGGGGAUCUUCGGACCUUGCGCGAUUGAAUGAGCCGAUGUCGGAUUAGCUAGUUGGCGGGGUAAAGGCCCACCAAGGCGACGAUCCGUAGCUGGUCUGAGAGGAUGAUCAGCCACACUGGAACUGAGACACGGUCCAGACUCCUACGGGAGGCAGCAGUGGGGAAUAUUGGACAAUGGGCGCAAGCCUGAUCCAGCCAUACCGCGUGAGUGAAGAAGGCCUUCGGGUUGUAAAGCCCUUUUGUUGGGAAAGAAAAGCAGCAUGUUAAUACCCCGCUGUUCUGACGGUACCCAAAGAAUAAGCACCGGCUAACUUCGUG
rnacentral:rRNA from 1 species